rnacentral:sRNA from 1 species
GCUGGGUGUGGUGGCACAUCCCUGUAAUCCCAGCGGAUUGGGAGGCUGAGGCAGGAGGAUUGCAAGUUCAAAGCCAGCCUCAGCAACUUAGCAAGGCCCUAAGCAACUCAGUGAGACCCUGUCUCUA